GAUCUGACCCUUCCUGCGCAACUCUCCUCUUGCUCAGCUUGCACCACAGGGAAACAUUCCCACUCACUUUGACCACUUUCACACUUUCCUGACAUCUUCCCUGCAUUUCUUUCAUCAAUUUCCAUUCUCUCAGGUCAUUAUCUGGAAGGUCUAGGGCUAAGUACUGCAAGUACAAAGAUAAUAAGGCAUUAAGUGCUGACUGCAAGGAAACAUCAGGCCCGGUGCAUUUGCCCAGCUCAGCAAUUUUAAUUCAUUUGUACUGGACAAGCAGCAGCGCCUCAACUAAUGUUUCCAUUUAGUGAACUGGAAAGACAGAGUUUGGACAAAAAUAAACCGAUUAUAUUACCGA